UACGUAGGUGGCAAGCGUUGUCCGGAAUUAUUGGGCGUAAAGCGCGCGCAGGCGGUCCUUUAAGUCUGAUGUGAAAGCCCACGGCUCAACCGUGGAGGGUCAUUGGAAACUGGGGGACUUGAGUACAGAAGAGAAGACUGGAAUUCCACGUGUAGCGGUGAAAUGCGUAGAGAUGUGGAGGAACACCAGUGGCGAAGGCGACUCUUUGGUCUGUAACUGACGCUGAGGCGCGAAAGCGUGGGGAGCAAACAGG
rnacentral:rRNA from 1 species